CGAGGAUCAUUGCCUCCCUGGGUCGUCCCUGCUGCCCCCAACCCACAAUGACCCAUUCUUUCUCGGAAUCUCUACACUUCAACCCAAUUCUUAGUCGAUGCUAUUUGGUAUCCUUCUCAAAUGAUUCCAUGUAUAUAGAGUCUUUUCUACCAAAUAAUACUCUAAUAAAGCCUUGAAAGAAAGGACCUUGCAAUACGCUUGUUGGGGAUUCCCCACCCUCACUAGAUCUAGUACUUUGGUGACCUUGAUAAAUUCUUUCUGAUAAACCAUUUAAUUUGUAUCACCUCCAUGUCUCCACUGCCAAACAGUGCUACGUAUAGGCCUUCACAUUUACACUGCAUUCCCCACCAGUAAAUACAAACACCCAAAGCAUAAUCUUGCAUAAUAAUUCUGACAUGGGUGGGGAAAGGAAUUGUCAUUGCUAAAAAUUCUUCAUUUGUUUCUGGGCUAAGAGGAGGGGAAAGCUUGUAAGGGUUUCCGGCCCAUUUUGGUAUUGGGCUCUCGGCCCUUGCAUCAGAAGAGCACAGACAUUUCGCUCAAUCUGUGAGAAUCUUUGACACAGAAAGAGGAACCUUGAGACUAGCCAGGCCUCCUUUUAAUAAACACAGGAGUUGUGAGAUGAGCAGGUCCAGGGUGAUGGGAAGAGAUGAUAUUGAAUUUCAUUUCUCAGCUAUAUGCCAGGGAUGGAAGAUUAUUCUUAAGGUGGGGGCGCUGGAAACAACAUCAACCACGAUAUGGAUGGGGGAUCUGAUUGUUUACCGAUGGCUGAGGUUCAGCGAGAUCCCAAGGUCUCAUUUGACUCUUUCACAACCUUUCUGACUUCUUGGUGGAGAAUGGAUUCUAGGAAGAAAGAAGGAAAAGAGAAGACUCUGGAACUCCGGAAUAGUCUAAGCCAGAGGCAAUAUAGCAAUUCAGUCUAGGAUGGUGACAUGAGGACAAGAGAAUUGGACAGCUAAUUUGAGGUCAGUUCUUUCAAAUUAAUUAAUUUGUAUGCUUAACAAACAUUCAGGGGACUCUACUAUGGCCCAGACAUGGUGGUAGGUUUGGGUGCUUAGAGGUGCCAUCUACUAAGAUUGCCUAAGAUUUAGUGUGGGAGGUGCUGAGGCAGAUGUGAAAACAAACAAUUAUGGCAAAGUAAGGUAAUGACUCUAACUGAAGU
rnacentral:lncRNA from 1 species